AUUGAACGCUGGCGGCAUGCCUUACACAUGCAAGUCGAACGGCAGCACGGGAGCUUGCUCCUGGUGGCGAGUGGCGAACGGGUGAGUAAUACAUCGGAACGUACCCAGUAGUGGGGGAUAACGCACCGAAAGGUGCGCUAAUACCGCAUACGACCUACGGGUGAAAGCGGGGGACCGUAAGGCCUCGCGCUAUUGGAGCGGCCGAUGUCUGAUUAGCUAGUUGGCGGGGUAAAAGCCCACCAAGGCGACG
rnacentral:rRNA from 1 species